GACGAACGCUGGCGGCGUGCCUAAUACAUGCAAGUAGAACGCUGAAGGAGGAGCUUGCUCUUCUGGAUGAGUUGCGAACGGGUGAGUAACGCGUAGGUAACCUGCCUGGUAGCGGGGGAUAACUAUUGGAAACGAUAGCUAAUACCGCAUAACAGUAGAUGUUGCAUGACAUUUGCUUAAAAGGUGCAAUUGCACCACUACCAGAUGGACCUGCGUUGUAUUAGCUAGUUGGUGGGGUAACGGCUCACCAAGGCGACGAUACAUAGCCGACCUGAGAGGGUGAUCGGCCGCACUGGGACUGAGACACGGCCCAGACUCCUACGGGAGGCAGCAGUAGGGAAUCUUCGGCAAUGGACGGAAGGCUGACCGAGCAACGCCGCGUGAGUGAAGAAGGGUUUCGGAUCGUAAAGCUCUGUUGUAAGAGAAGAACGAGUGUGAGAGUGGAAAGUUCACACUGUGACGGUAUCUUACCAGAAAGGGACGGCUAACUACGUG
rnacentral:rRNA from 1 species